UGUUGUCGAUAAUGAUGUUCUCGGAAAAGAUCAACUCAACAUUAUCGAAUCUGUCAAAUAAUUGAAUAAAAAGUUAUCCUACGAGGAAUGUAACAUUUAGAAAAGUAUAACUAAUUGUCUAGACUAUGCAUAUUUUCCUAAUCUAACUAUUUUAUUUAGCCGUUUGGUUGCCUGGUAACUGACACAAGUCCAAGCCAGAUAAAAACCCGGAAGGCACAGUGUGUUUUUCUUUCAUUGAAUCAACCCAGGCAGUGAUCAAAUCGAGAUGCUCAAGUAACAUUUACAUGGAAACAAAGAGUAGUCUACAUGUGGGCUAUAACACUUCGCUGCCCAUUGUGUGAGUUGGUGCCGGUGGUACUGUCAACAUGAAAUCCAGUGGUGCUGCUCUGUUCACAAGGAACAACCCCUUUCCGCCAGACCCACCUCUGGGAAAAACACAUUUACAACCCCUCACGCACCAAGAAGCUUCCAAAACAACAGAGGAAACCCACCCUGAACCCUGUUGGCCUUGCCCAGCUGUCUAGCCCUCCUCCUCCCCAGACACACUCACUGAGCCCAGAGGACCUGUGCUUCCUUGGGGCAGCCAACCACUUUGUCCUCUGUCCUCCUCCUGCCACUAGGCCCAGCCUAGUUUUUAAGAGUCCUGGCCCUCCACUGAUCUUGUGUCCUCCCCGGCCAACACUGCCGCCUCCCCGAACACAGACAAAGGCAUAGGACCCAACAUCGGGAAAGUCCCUGGUUUCCACUGGGGGAGGAGAGCAGGAAGAUUCAGUGUUGGUAAAAACAUUGAACGCUUUCGUCACGGAAGGCCGCAGAGUCGAGAGCAACGUCUGCAGACGUCGGCAAUGGUGGGAGAGGGCCAGCAGCCUUUCUGGUGGCUGUCCUCCUCCCCUCUACCCUCCAGUUCUACACCCACUCAAACCACUGACAAAGGCCUUUCCCUUAGAAAAGACUCAGCCACCACCCUCAGUCCAGUUGGGUAGUUUUGGCAUGGCACAACCCUCUCCCCAUGCAGGGGACUCCUUGAUCUUAGUGCCAUGGGCCUGUCAGACUCCUCUCACGGUGACCUUGGAGGCUCCGAGAUACUGCAUCUACAGGAGAAGGCCAGUAGACUGCUACACAGAAGUGAGCACUCACUCAGUAGUGGAUAUAUCCUCAUCAGCUCUGAGGGCCUGGGCUGCUCCAAUUUGUCCUCCCCUGUGAGCAUAGAUGAGCCAGUCCGAAGGCCUAUAAUUACCACUCUUAUCAACUCAACCACUGUUGUGGGGAACCUAAGCUCUUCAGACCUCUAUGCUGGAACCGUGCCCAAACUGUCUGUGGUUGGUCCCCCUGACCCAUGCACUCGCCCAGAGGAGGACAUCAGCUUUCAGUGGCGCCUGAGGAGAAAGAUGGAGCAGGCCAGUCGGUGGUCACACCCACAUCAGGUUCGCACCCUUCAUCAGCACUCUGUCAGCUGGCAGGCACAAGAUACAGCGGAAUCCCCACCCUGCAUAUUCCACUCACCUGCUCCUUCACCCCAGCCCCCCAGGAGACCAGUGUCCCCCAUGGACCAUUCUCCUCUGCAGCUGCCCUCCCCAUCUCCAGCCCCACCGUCUCCAAGUUGUAGCCGGAUACCCUGGUCUGUCCCCACAUGCACCUCCUCUGUGACAUCGUUCCUUAUACCACUCAACCCCUCUCCCCUCCACCCAGCCACCAGAGGAGCCCAAAGAGGAGGGAGGUCUCUAGGGCCGACCGGACCAUCAGGCAGCCCAAAGCCCAGUUCAGCUCCACAGACACCUCCACUGAGGAGCCCACUAGUAAACAUGAGUCCUCUUCAACACCACCCGCCUUGUCUCUUCGCCUUGCUCGCAUCACUUUCAGAGGUAAUGUUACCGACCAUGGACUCCCCGGACCCGCCCAGAACCCCUGUGUCCUCUGACUCGCCCAGAUAUGCGCCCCCACAGUCCCCCGCCCUGCCUCCCAGUGCACAGCAGCCCCGGGAGGUCGUAGCUCAGCUGCUGCAGGAGGCUGAAGAUUCAGACGAGCAAGAGUUUAAAGACGACCCCUUACUGAAUGUCUUAAGGCAGCAGAGGAUGGGUGAAGGAGUAAAUCAGCGAGGUGGACUCACUGUUGGAUGAAUUCCAGGAAGCGUGAUCACUGGUGGUGAGCACACACAUGGAACAAAAACAACAAUCAAUUCAACAGCAUUUUUAUUUUUGUACCGAAAUAUAGUGCAUUUAUUUUUGUU